rnacentral:rRNA from 1 species
ACGAACGCUGGCGGCUGCUUAACACAUGCAAGUCGAACGGAGUGGCGAACGGGUGAGUAACGCGUGAGAAACCUGCCUAUGACAGUGGGAUAGCCUCGGGAAACCGGGAUUAAUACCGCAUAGUCAUAGAUGGGCUCGCGUCUGAUUAGCUAGUUGGUGAGAUAACAGCCCACCAAGGCGACGAGCAGUAGCCGGCGUGAGAGACGGAACGGCAACAUUGGAACUGAGACACGGUCCAAACGCCUACGGGAGGCAGCAGUGGGGAAUAUUGCACAAUGGGGGAAACCCUGGUGCAGCGACGCCGCGUGAACGAAGAAGGUAUUCGUAUCGUAAAGUUCUGUCCUAUGGGAAGCAGUACCAUAGAAGAAAGCUCCGGCUAAAUACGUGCCAGCAGCCGCGGUAAUUC